GGGGAUUUAGCUCAGCGGCAUAAGCGCCUGCCUUGCAAGCAGGCAGUCAUAAGUUCGAUCCCCA
rnacentral:tRNA from 1 species